rnacentral:antisense_RNA from 1 species
CUUGACCGAGCCCAGCCACAGCGGCUCUCCCUCGGGUCGCUCCCGGCCGUAGGUGGCCAGCAGCGCCUGGGCCUC